rnacentral:misc_RNA from 1 species
GGAGAAGGCACAUCAGAGAUAGAUACGCAAAUGCAUAAAUGCCCAAGAAUUACUUUUUUCCAGCACCUCAAUUAAAAAAUAAACUUUUACAACAUAUUUGUAACAUAGAAUGACAAUAUCAAACGAUUCAAAACAAUCAAUUAUGUACAAAACAAAGAAAUACCAAAAAAUUGUCAUAUGAUAUUUUUCCACGCAUUUGUCUUUAUGAACACAUUUUUUCACAUAUUAUCCAUACCUCUCCAGGAUGUAUGAUGGUC